rnacentral:rRNA from 1 species
AGAGUUUGAUCAUGGCUCAGGAUGAACGCUAGCUACAGGCUUAACACAUGCAAGUCGAGGGGCAGGCAUGGUCUUAGCUUGCUAAGGCCGAUGGCGACCGGCGCACGGGUGAGUAACGCGUAUCCAACCUGCCUUACACUCUUGGACAGCCUUCUGAAGGGAGAUUAAUACAAGAUGUUAUCAUGAGUAAGCAUUUUCGACAUUGAUUAAAGGUUUACCGGUGGUAAGAGUGGGGAUGCGUUCCAUUAGAUAGUAGGCGGGGUAACGGCCACCUAGUCUUCGAUGGAUAGGGGUUCUGAGAGGAAGGUCCCCCACAUUGGAACUGAGACACGGUCCAAACUCCUACGGGAGGCA